rnacentral:rRNA from 1 species
AGAUGCUUUGGUGCCUUGGGAACCCUGAGACAGGUGCUGCAUGGCUGUCGUCAGCUCGUGUUGUGGAAAAUGUUGGGUUAAGUCCCGCAACGAGCGCAACCCUUAUCCUUUGUUGCCAGCGGUCCGGCCGGGAACUCAAAGGAGACUGCCAGUGAUAAACUGGAGGAAGGUGGGGAUGACGUCAAGUCAUCAUGGCCCUUACGAGUAGGGCUACACACGUGCUACAAUGGCGCAUACAAAGAGAAGCGACCUCGCGAGAGCAAGCGGACCUCAUAAAGUGCGUCGUAGUCCGGAUUGGAGUCUGCAACUCGACUCCAUGAAGUCGGAAUCGCUAGUAAUCGUGGAUCAGAAUGCCACGGUGAAUACGUUCCCGGGCCUUGUACACACCGCCCGUCACACCAUGGGAGUGGGUUGCAAAAGAAGUAGGUAGCUUAACCUUCGGGAGGGCGCUUACCACUUUGUGAUUCAUGACUGGGGUGAAGUCGUAACAAGGUAAGCGUAGUGCU